UCGGGAAUUUUGGGCAAUGGGCGAAAGCCUGACCCAGCAACGCCGCGUGAAGGAUGAAGUAUUUCGGUAUGUAAACUUCGAAAGAAUAGGAAGAAUAAAUGACGGUACUAUUUAUAAGGUCCGGCUAACUACGUGCCAGCAGCCGCGGUAAUACGUAGGGACCAAGCGUUGUUCGGAUUUACUGGGCGUAAAGCGUGCGCAGGCGGUUGUGUAAGUCAGAUGUGAAAUCCCCGGGCUCAACCUGGGAAUUGCAUUUGAGACUGCACGGCUAGAGUGUGUCAGAGGGGGGUAGAAUUCCACGUGUAGCAGUGAAAUGCGUAGAUGUCGAGAGGAACACCAGUGGCGAAGGCGAAUCUCUGGACAAAUCCUGACACUGAGGCACGAAAGCCAAGGGAGCAAACGGGAUUAGAUACCCUCGUAGUCCCUGAGCGGGCUGGCAAGGCGCAU
rnacentral:rRNA from 1 species